AGGAUCAGAUGACAGGGCACCAACAGUCUGAACAUCCAAAACCGUUCUCAGAUGAGGUAUCAUCAUCACAAGACAAAGACACUGAUCCUAGAGAAAGUUGAUGAAACAUAACACAGCAGACAACCACCAUGUAGCAACGUUAGCAACAGCUACUAUUGCAAGAUGCGAACUCCAGACUCACUGAAGCAUGUAUAUACAGUUCCAUCAGUUCAGCACCUCCUUGUUUCCUUCAGGCUUCAUGACACAACAUCGGCACAAGGCAAAUAGAACAUUGAUCACGGAUGCGUUGUGAAACAACCCAUGAUUCCCUAGUGCACUCAGGAUACAUGGAUGAUGCAUGAACAGUUUUUGGA